rnacentral:rRNA from 1 species
UACGUAGGGUGCAAGCGUUAAUCGGAAUUACUGGGCGUAAAGCGUGCGUAGGUGGUUCGUUAAGUCUGAUGUGAAAGCCCUGGGCUCAACCUGGGAAUGGCAUUGGAAACUGGCGAUCUAGAGUGCGGUAGAGGGUAGUGGAAUUCCCGGUGUAGCAGUGAAAUGCGUAGAGAUCGGGAGGAACAUCUGUGGCGAAGGCGACUGCCUGGACCAGCACUGACACUGAGGCACGAAAGCGUGGGGAGCAAACAGG